CUGACGGCCAGUCACCAGCAACUCAGGGUCCAACACUGAGGGCAACACCACGGUCUGCUGUAAUAAUCUGGAUAAUGGGACAGAAUGCACUCACAGUAAAUUUGUAGGUUAUGCCAAAUUGGUCAGGGAGAGCAGUCAAUCAACUGGAGUUAGAGCAGUGGUGUUUCUGGGAGGGUGAAGGUGCUCUCCAUUUGACUCUUCUGAAAGGGUACCUGAAUAUCAGGUUCAGUUGAAGACUUCUCAGUAUACGGAAGGUAUUAAUACACUGGAGCAAGUCCAGCUGAGGACUACCAAAGCCAAUGGGAAUUGGAGCACAGUGGGGAGAGGUUAAGGGAACUGGAUUUGUUCAGCCUGGGGAAGACAGGACUGUCAUUUCUAUCUGAAAAUACCAACUGGCCUGAUGGGGAGAAGACAGAGCCAGGCUCUGCUCAGCCAGCAGUAGGUGAAGAGGCAAUAGGCACAAACUGGAAGAUCGAAAUUUCAACUCAAUUAAAGGAACAUGCUUUUUGCCAUGAAAAUAGUCAAAUACUGGAACAAGGACCCAAAACGAUUUCCACCCUUGGAGGUAAUCAAUACUCAACUAGUGAAGGUCUGGACCUGCUUUGGCCAGGAGAUUGGAGUAGACAAGGGAUUGUUUGUGGUCUUCUGUAGCCUACACAAUUUUGUGGUUCUAUGAUUUCACGUAGCAGUGUCUGUGGAGUUACUGCAGUAGUGGAGAAGUGCAUGUGGACAACAAGGACCAACGUGUUCAACUGGGACGCCAGAUGGACGUGAGUCAAAAAGGUCACCGCGUGGUACAAAUGGCAGUCACAGCUGGGGAUAUGAAGAAUAAUGGCCUGCAGAGCACAUGGAUUAACCUUUACAUUUAUUAGGAGAUGUGAUCCAGCAAGAAUGACUCCAGCAAGAAUCACGUGUCCUUGGAGAAAUGCAGACACAAUGAGGGUGAGGAUGAAAGCAGCCCUUGCAUUUGUAGGAUGCUAAUAAAAAGAAUCCGGCCUGAUCUCUAUUUCUGUGCUGAACAGAACUGGAAAUAGUGGGUGUGAACUGCAGCAAAGGGAUAAAAUCAUAGAAUCAUUAAGGCUGGAAAAGACCUCUAUGAUCAUCAAGUCCAACAGUCAGCCCACCCAAACCAUACCCACUCAUGGAAUCAUUAAGAUUGAAAAGAUCUCCAAGAUCAUCCAGUCCAGCCAUCAACCCAUCAUCUCCAUUAAUGAUGAAUCAAUGAGAAAAGCUUUUAAAUAGCAGACAUGGUGAAACUUUGGGAUUUCUGAGAAAGUUGUGGAGUUCCCUUUCUUGUAGGGAUUUAAGAACAAGUUAGACAUGCACUUGUCAUGAAUGAUUCAGAAAGAGUUGCUUCUGCUUUGGAAGACAAAUGUAGAUACGUUGUCCACUGUAAAUCUCUGCGGAUCAAUAGUUGGGUGAACUAUUCUGGUUUCAUAUGGGCAUAUCCUUCUUGGAGACAGCAUGUAUUCUGGUAACCCUUGCAUUUCUUUAUUUCUCCCCUUUCAUUCCUAAUGCAAUAGAUCAAGUAAUAAGAUAUAGUGAUAGAACUGAACAUUUCUAAAGAGAUCUCUAAAGUUAUACCAAUGGAUCUAUGUGUCUGGUUACCUGGUUCCAUGCUGAUGUUUAACCUCCCAGUAAAAAUCCCUUCCUUAAGCUUUAGGAAGCUUUAGAUGGCCUUUAAAGGUCUCUUCCAACUCCAACCAUUCUAUGAUCCUGUGAUAUUGCCUGACUGGGUGCAGCAAGCAGCCUUUGCCCACAUCACCCCAUAAAGCUUCACAGUAAAUGAGAAUGUGUUGCUAUGCGGCUCUAUGUGGCUGCUUGCCAGUUUUGAUCUUCGAGUGAUCAGCCAGCCUCAGGAAACAGGAUCUGUAAUUACGUCUACUUUACACUGAGAAAACAUUAUUCGUGCCAUAAAUUCUUUGAGGUAGGGCUUGUAUCUCUUGGAUUUUAUUUAAUCCCAAGAAUGCUGAUGCUUGACAAACAGAGACUGGCUUCACUCUGUUUAAGCAUUAAUCUGCCCAGUUUCUCUUCAAAUCCAGCUAUCUUCUGACAUCCUGUACUCACAAAUAUCACAUGCCAGAUGCUUCCUUAAUGACACUCUGGUCCCUAACUGAUUUAACUGCUAUUUAUGUAAGAUCAUCCCCUCUUAUCCUCUUAUCUAUCUUUUUUUCCCCAUGUUUAUUCCUCUCCAAACCACCAAACAUCAUACAGUAAGUUUAAUGAGACCCUGAUAUUCUCUUCCUUUGCAGCACACAACAGAAUGGGAAAUUGGUACCCAGUAGUUACUUUCUCUCUCUCAAGGCAGUCAUUAGCUCAUUCUCUUUACCAAGUCACCAAUUGUGGAGGGGAUGCAUACAAUGAAGCAUCAUCUGUUAAAGUCAUAAUGUGUUCAUCUUACAUUUUUGUAAAACCAACUUUCUUCCAUUGUUGUUCCAUUUUCCCUGUUUGCUGCAAAAUGCUACCAUGUUGAGUCAAAUGUGUGAAAAAAUAAAUGAAUGGCUUUCUGCAGAGUUUGGGUUGGUCUGCCAAUCAUUGCACCUUUACAGUGACUUGGGGGUAUGUUAGCACUCUUCCAAACAAGCAUUCUUGGACGAAGUAAAACCAACAUGCUGCCAUAGGCAUAGACUCUGAAAAAAGCAAGGAAUGCAGCCUGGAAGGUGUGGCAGACACAGAGUUUCAACAAAAUGUUAUUUGAAAUUCAAGGUCAUAAUUAUAAACUUCUAUUUGAAAAGUCACAUUCAGUAUUCUCACUCAGUUUUUGCAGUUACAGACAGACUGACAGACAAGUCCACGAAGUCCAACUCAAAGCUGAAUCCUUGACAAGGCAAGACAAUACAUUAAUUGUUUCUUGAGCAAAACCAGCUCUAUCGUGACUAAACAACAGAAAAAGACAUGGGAUGGACGCUGUUCAGGGCUGGAGGGCUAAUUAAAACUAGAGGAAACUGGGUGUGCAGCUACCUGAGUGAAUAAAUCAGCCAUGUAUUCUGCUGGAGAUAAUCAUUUACAGGACUUGUUUGGAUCUGCAUACCAACUUUCAUGCAGGUGCAAUGAAUGAGGAAAUCAAUUAUCUGUCAUUGUUUAACACUGACAUCACCUCCUCUACAAAGCUCCUUGUCUAUCUAAAUGUGCAGAAAUCUCAUCCCUCUAGAUCUUCAGUUGGGUCAGCUUUUUCUGGAAUUACAAAUGGGACCCCAAGUUGAUUGUUGUGUAUAAAUGGACAAUGAGAGACAGUAAGAACGUGGAAUACACACCAAAAAGAUGCCAUUUCAUUAAAACUACCAAGCUCCACUGAGUCUCUUUCCUUGAUAUUUAUGCCCUUCUUCUGCAGUGUUGAAUGCUCUACUUAAUCUGAAGGUACGUGCCUGAAUACUUCUGUUUGUUAAGGGAGAGGUAGCACUGAUGUACAUGGUUGACCAAAGUGUCAGCGUGCAGCACUCCAUUGGCUCCUUCCAAACUUCCCCAGGUGGUAAGCACUCCCUACGUAAAUCCCCUCAGAACUAAAUGAAAAAGCAUGGUCCCUUUUCCAGGCACAGGAAGGACAAGAAAAUCAUCAUGGAUUAACCAAAAGGAGGACACGUUUGACCAACUUGAUGAGCUUCUGUAAUGAAACGUCCAGCUUGUUGGAUGAAGAGGAAGCAGUGCUCAUUGUCUUCCUGGAUGUUGAUAAGGUGUAUUCUGUUCUCCAGAAGAUCCUCCUAUAGAAACUGUUGGUGUAUGGACUGGAAGAGGAUGAAAACUGCUUGAACGGCCUGGCUCAGAUGUCAGUGGAUAAGUCUAGAUGGAGUACGAAUGAGCUGACCUUGAGAUCAACCCAUGCAUUAUUACCUGGGUUGGGGUUGGACAUCCAUCACUAGACACCUACAGAAAUCAGUUGCCUGGGCUAAAGGAACUGAAUCACAGUCAAACAUGGGUGCCUACACACUAAGAGACACCAAGCUGCAGCCUGGACAUUAUUUAAAGCAGAUGAAUACCAAAAGGAGUGCCAGGAAUCAGUCCAUCUCCUCAUCCACAGGACCAGGGAAGAUGAAAAGAUGCUGAGCUGAUCAAAUUAUAUCUCAGUAUAGAUGGAUCUAUCUCCAUAAAUAUAGAAAACAAGUGAUCAAACAAAAAAAUUGUUUUGAUCAUCAAAUCUGAUUCCAGUGUCUGGAAAUAAAAUAUCCCAGCAAGAAGACAAGCGUGCUGAAUGUGUUUCUCAGAUUUUUGAAGAAAAAAAUCACAUAC
ensembl:lncRNA